rnacentral:rRNA from 1 species
AACGACUCUCGACAACGGAUAUCUCAGCUCUCGCAUCGAUGAAGAACGUAGCAAAAUGCGAUACUUGGUGUGAAUUGCAGAAUCCCGUGAACCAUCGAAUUUUUGAACGCAAGUUGCGCAUUAGUUCAUCCGGCCGAGAGCACGCCUGCCUAGGCGUCACGC